rnacentral:rRNA from 1 species
UGAGGGAAUAUUUGGGGUCAAUGGGCGGGAGCCUGAACCAGCCAAGUCGCGUGAGGGAGGAAGGUCCUACGGAUUGUAAACCUCUUUAGCCGGGGAGCAACGUGCGCCACGUGUGGCGCAGUGAGAGUACCCGGAGAAUAAGCAUCGGCUAACUCCGUGCCAGCAGCCGCGGUAAUACGGAGGAUGCGAGCGUUACCCGGAUUUAUUGGGUUUAAAGGGAGCGUAGGCCGGAGAUUAAGCGUGUUGUGAAAUGUAGUGGCUCAACCUCUGCACUGCAGCGCGAACUGGUCUUCUUGAGUACGCACAACGUGGGCGGAAUUCGUGGUGUAGCGGUGAAAUGCUUAGAUAUCACGAAGAACUCCGAUUGCGAAGGCAGCUCACGGGAGCGCAACUGACGCUGAAGC